rnacentral:rRNA from 1 species
UACGGGGGGAGCAAGCGUUGUUCGGAUUUACUGGGCGUAAAGGGCGCGUAGGCGGCCACCGCAAGUCGAACGUGAAAUCCCCGGGCUCAACCCGGGAACUGCGUCCGAUACUGGCAGGCUUGAAUCCGGGAGAGGGAUGCGGAAUUCCAGGUGUAGCGGUGAAAUGCGUAGAUAUCUGGAGGAACACCGGUGGCGAAGGCGGCAUCCUGGACCGGCAUUGACGCUGAGGCGCGAAAGCCAGGGGAGCAAAGCGGG